CUGAAGCCUGCGGCGUCACCCGUGAGAUCGAUUUUCCAGAAGCAGCCACACCGAUGUUUCACCGCCGCCUCCGGAGCCACGCAAGGGCGGCGGGACAAGUUCAUGAUCUCCCAUACUGUAAUGGACUGCCAUCCCAUCAAAAGUGUCCCCACCAUCAUUCCCGGUGCUUCCCAAGACGGGCACCAGGAUCACUGUGUUUCUGCAUGGGACAAACAGUUAUGGAAGACGAGUUGAUGGCCAUCUCCUGUUACCGCCUCCUCAAAGGAGAACUCAUUUCAGAGUCCAAACCUGAGG